AGAAUCAACGCUGGCGGCGUGCCUAACACAUGCAAGUCGAACGAGAAAGGGACUUCGGUCCUGAGUAUAGUGGCGCACGGGUGAGUAACACGUGAAUAAUCUACCUCCGAGUGGGGAAUAACUGAGAGAAAUCUUAGCUAAUACCGCAUAACACUUACGAGUCAAAGCAGCAAUGCGCUUGGAGAGGAGUUCGCGGCCGAUUAGUUAGUUGGCGGGGUAAUGGCCCACCAAGACGAUGAUCGGUAUCCGGCCUGAGAGGGCGCACGGACACACUGGAACUGAAACACGGUCCAGACUCCUACGGGAGGCAGCAGUGGGGAAUUUUGCGCAAUGGGGGAACCCUGACGCAGCAACGCCGCGUGGAGGAUGAAGUAUCUCGGUACGUAAACUCCUUUCGAUGGGGAAGAUAAUGACGGUACCCAUAGAAGAAGCCCGGCUAACUUCGUGCCAGCAGCCGC
rnacentral:rRNA from 1 species